AAGCUUCCCCUCCUCUGUUUCGUCUCACUAGAGGCGCCGGCUUCAGUCUCGAUCACGUGGCGCCUCGGCAGAAAUUGAUCUCUCUGAUAAGCGGAAAUUAAGAACAGCAAUUGACCAACACGUAAUUAUCCCCGUCGAUAUUACAAUGAGCACCAUUAAAAACUGUUCGAUAGUUGUGCACGUUCUCGUAUCGAGAUUAUACUCGUGCAAUAAAUAUAUCAAGCAAUUUGUGUAAGUGCUAUACGAUUUUAACGAAACAACGUAUAUAUGUAUAUAUAUAUAUAUGUAUAUAUAGAUACACGAAUGAUUCAGAGUCAAAUUGGCCAAUGAAUCGCAGCGAUGAACCGAUCGAGUGAUUGGUGGAUGAUCGAAGAAAAAUCGAUGGCGAGAGAUCGAAGGGAAAAAAGUGGCGCCCACGCUGAGAAUGAUCGGUCGAAGAUCUCGGCGAUCUCUCGAAACGGCGUCCUCUCGAACGCUCCUCGAUGGGAGGAGCUGCUUGGUCGCGGAUUUUAAUGGCGGAUUUUUGCGACUCGCCAAUCGCACACGACACGAGACACCGUCCACCGUUUCCCGCUCCGUGAUUCAACGAUUCGACGAUUUCACCGCGAAGAGAGGAGAGAUAUACAUCGUGGCGAGUUACGUGAUUUGAUUUGAGGAGAGCUCCUCGAAGCGAGCGCGCGUGGGACACGCGCUCUGCCUUGUCGCGUGCCUCGCCACGUUCAUGCUGGUUCUCAACCUGCGCCUCGAUACUCGAUGCUUCGAUUAAUCGCGAUCGCUGAGCGGGAACUGUCGCCAUCAUUCUUGCGCGAUUCACGUGUUUCGAUAGGAAUGGAACGACACUUUGGAUUUUCGCCAAGCUGUGUUUUAUAUCUUACAGUGGUAGAAAUUUAUCCAGGUUAUGAUAGGUACGUUGAAAGCGAGCAACGUUCCAACGAAACGAAAUCUUACGAGAGAUUUUCUACGGGGUUUGACACGUAAUAAUACAUUUCGACACUGAAAUGAUAUCAUCGCUCACAGAAACGGAUUCAGUCAUUUGUGGCAACUCGCGUUCAUCUCUUUCGUGUCGUGGUAAGUGCUUCUGCGAUACAACUUGCAAAUCUUCUAAUGUUAUGACAUUUGAAAAUAAUCAAAGUAUACGACCUCGUAAUAUAAAGUGUAUUUUACCGUGUCGCGUUGCGUGUAACAUUAAGAUCGAAAUAACGAUUUCAUAAUGACACAAUCAUUUAUAUUUUCAUUCAGUUUCAAAUUGCGUACCCAUAUGUGACUUUGAAAAGGGAAUCUCGAAAAGGGAAUUCUUCGAUUAUAACGACCAUAGCCAUAUUUGACUUUCAUUCGACUUUUAAAAUUUGGAUUUUUUUAUUAAAUGAAUUAAUAAACAAUAUCCAAGUUAUAAAGUAGCUCUGUGAAGUUGUGUAGAAACUAAUGGCGUAGGAAUCGAGAUAGCGUAGGUACUCGGAUGCCUGCCGUCGGAGAACAAGGAGAAAGGUACGUGGAUAAAUUGCCUAUGCCGUUUACAGGCGAGUCGGGCUUGAGAACAGCCUAAUUACCGCGUUUACGCACUGCGUAACGUGCACGAAGUAUCGCUCGAUCGCUUGGACAAAUUGGACAUGCGUGAUGUUUUCAUUUUCAUGAAACUGCCGCGGAAACUGGAGGCGUCCAAUUCUCCGAAACAAGGAUGAAUGAAUUUCGAGAUAAAUGGAACUCGAUCGUAACUUUAAAAAUUCAAAUAUCAAAUUUUUAUUCGAUAUAUACUACGCGUGAUUACCAACACCGCGAACCACGUCUCGAUACUCCAUCGAGACCACUCCAUCAUUUACUUUUUAAAAAGUCGAACGAUAAAAUCAUACGUUGCGAUGCUGAAAAUUGAAAUUU
rnacentral:lncRNA from 1 species